rnacentral:rRNA from 1 species
UACAGAGGCCCCAAGCGUUACUGAGAAUCACUGGGUUUAAAGGGUGCGUAGGUGGUCCGUUAAGUUCGUUGUGAAAUCCCUGGGCUCAACCCAGGAAAUGCUUCGAAUACUGGCGGACUUGAGGCUAGUAGAGGUCACUGGAACUGACGGUGGAGCAGUGAAAUGCGUAGAUAUCGUCAGGAACGCCGAUGGUGAAGACAGGUGACUGGGCUAGUUCUGACACUGAGGCACGAAAGCGUGGGGAGCGAACGGG